rnacentral:rRNA from 1 species
UACGUAGGGACCGAGCGUUGUCCGGAUUCAUUGGGCGUAAAGGGCUCGUAGGCGGCUGCUCAAGUCGAAUGUGAAAACUCGAGGCUCAACCUCGAGCCUGCAUUCGAUACUGGGCGGCUAGAGUCUGGUAGGGGGAUCUGGAAUUCCUGGUGUAGCGGUGGAAUGCGCAGAUAUCAGGAGGAACACCGGUGGCGAAGGCGAAUCCCUGGAAAAUACCUGACACUGAGGCACGAAAGCUAGGGGAGCAAACAGG